rnacentral:rRNA from 1 species
GUGCUGAAAGCAUCUAAGCAUGAAGCCCCCCUCAAGAUGAGAUUUCCCAACUUCGGUUAUAUGAUCCCUCAAAGAUGAUGAGGUUAAUAGGUUCGAGGUGGAAGCAUGGUGACAUGUGGAGCUGACGAAUACUAAUCGAUCGAAGACUUAAUCAA